rnacentral:rRNA from 1 species
CCCUUAGAUGUCCUGGGCCGCACGCGCGCUACACUGAGUGUCUGAGAUACGAGUCUGCCUAGCCGGCGAGGUCUAGGUAAUCGCUGAAAGACACAUCAUCCUUGGGAUAGAUUAUUGCAGAUAUUAAUCUUGAACGAGGAAUUCCUAGUAAGCGCAAGUCAACAGCUUGCGUUGAUUACGUCCCUGCCCUUUGUGCACACCGCCCGUCGCUACUACUGAUUGGAUGUUUAAGCGAGGUUCUCGAACUGCUAGCGACUUAGCUUCGGUGAGGUCGCCGUGUGGGAAGUGAACCUAGCUUUGGUGUCUAGAGGAAGUAAAAGUCGUAGCA